rnacentral:rRNA from 1 species
CAACGAGCGCAACCCUCGUCCUUAGUUGCUAGCAGUUCGGCUGAGCACUCUAAGGAGACUGCCUUCGUAAGGAGGAGGAAGGUGAGGACGACGUCAAGUCAUCAUGGCCCUUACGCCUAGGGCUACACACGUGCUACAAUGGGGUGCACAAAGAGACGCAAUACUGCGAAGUGGAGCAAAUCUCUAAAACAUCUCUCAGUUCGGAUUGUAGUCUGCAACUCGACUACAUGAAGCUGGAAUCGCUAGUAAUCGCAAAUCAGCCAUGUUGCGGUGAAUACGUUCCCGGGUCUUGUACUCACCGCCCGUCACACCAUGGGAGUUGUAUUCGCCUUAAGUCGGAAUACUAAAUUGGUUACCGCCCACGGCGGAUGCAGCGACUGGGGUGAAGUCGUAACAAGGUAACCGUAG